rnacentral:rRNA from 1 species
ACGAUGAAGAGUUUGAUCCUGGCUCAGGAUGAACGCUAGCGGCAGGCUUAACACAUGCAAGUCGAGGGGUAACAGGGUUUGCUUGCAAACCGCUGACGACCGGCGCACGGGUGCGUAACGCGUAUAGAACCUACCUUUUACAGGGAGAUAGCCCGGAGAAAUCCGGAUUAAUAUCCCAUAGUAAUGUUUUACGGCAUCGUAAAACGUUUAAAGUUACGGCGGUAAAAGAUGGCUAUGCGUCUUAUUAGCUAGUAGGUAAGGUAACGGCUUACCUAGGCAACGAUAAGUAGGGGCCCUGAGAGGGGGAUCCCCCACACUGGUACU